GUUUCCGUGGUGUAGUCGGUUAUCACGUCUGUCUAACACACAGACGGUCCUCGGUUCGAAUCCGAGCGGAAACA